AGACCCGAAACCCGGUGAUCUAGCCAUGGGCAGGUUGAAGGUUGGGUAACACUAACUGGAGGACCGAACCGACUAAUGUUGAAAAAUUAGCGGAUGACCUGUGGCUGGGGGUGAAAGGCCAAUCAAACCGGGAGAUAGCUGGUUCUCCCCGAAAGCUAUUUAGGUAGCGCCUCGUGAAUUCAUCUCCGGGGGUAGAGCACUGUUUCGGCUAGGGGGCCAUCCCGGCUUACCAACCCGAUGCAAACUGCGAAUACCGGAGAAUGUUAUCACGGGAGACACACGGCGGGUGCUAACGUCCGUCGUGAAGAGGGAAACAACCCAGACCGCCAGCUAAGGUCCCAAAGUCAUGGUUAAGUGGGAAACGAUGUGGGAAGGCCCAGACAGCCAGGAUGUUGGCUUAGAAGCAGCCAUCAUUUAAAGAAAGCGUAAUAGCUCACUGGUCGAGUCGGCCUGCGCGGAAGAUGUAACGGGGCUAAACCAUGCACCGAAGCUGCGGCAGCGACACUGUGUGUUGUUGGGUAGGGGAGCGUUCUGUAAGCCUGCGAAGGUGGCCUGUGAGGGUUGCUGGAGGUAUCAGAAGUGCGAAUGCUGACAUAAGUAACGAUAAAGCGGGUGAAAAGCCCGCUCGCCGGAAGACCAAGGGUUCCUGUCCAACGUUAAUCGGGGCAGGGUGAGUCGACCCCUAAGGCGAGGCCGAAAGGCGUAGUCGAUGGGAAACGGGUUAAUAUUCCCGUACUUGGUGUUACUGCGAAGGGGGGACGGAGAAGGCUAUGUUGGCCGGGCGACGGUUGUCCCGGUUUAAGCGUGUAGGCUGGUUUUCCAGGCAAAUCCGGAAAAUCAAGGCUGAGGCGUGACGACGAGGCACUACGGUGCUGAAGCAACAAAUGCCCUGCUUCCAGGAAAAGCCUCUAAGCAUCAGGUAACAUCAAAUCGUACCCCAAACCGACACAGGUGGUCAGGUAGAGAAUACCAAGGCGCUUGAGAGAACUCGGGUGAAGGAACUAGGCAAAAUGGUGCCGUAACUUCGGGAGAAGGCACGCUGACACGUAGGUGAAGUGAUUUACUCAUGGAGCUGAAGUCAGUCGAAGAUACCAGCUGGCUGCAACUGUUUAUUAAAAACACAGCACUGUGCAAACACGAAAGUGGACGUAUACGGUGUGACGCCUGCCCGGUGCCGGAAGGUUAAUUGAUGGGGUCAGCGCAAGCGAAGCUCCUGAUCGAAGCCCCGGUAAACGGCGGCCGUAACUAUAACGGUCCUAAGGUAGCGAAAUUCCUUGUCGGGUAAGUUCCGACCUGCACGAAUGGCGUAAUGAUGGCCAGGCUGUCUCCACCCGAGACUCAGUGAAAUUGAACUCGCUGUGAAGAUGCAGUGUACCCGCGGCAAGACGGAAAGACCCCGUGAACCUUUACUAUAGCUUGACACUGAACAUUGAGCCUUGAUGUGUAGGAUAGGUGGGAGGCUUUGAAGUGUGGACGCCAGUCUGCAUGGAGCCAACCUUGAAAUACCACCCUUUAAUGUUUGAUGUUCUAACGUGGACCCGUAAUCCGGGUUGCGGACAGUGUCUGGUGGGUAGUUUGACUGGGGCGGUCUCCUCCUAAAGAGUAACGGAGGAGCACGAAGGUUGGCUAAUCCUGGUCGGACAUCAGGAGGUUAGUGCAAUGGCAUAAGCCAGCUUGACUGCGAGCGUGACGGCGCGAGCAGGUGCGAAAGCAGGUCAUAGUGAUCCGGUGGUUCUGAAUGGAAGGGCCAUCGCUCAACGGAUAAAAGGUACUCCGGGGAUAACAGGCUGAUACCGCCCAAGAGUUCAUAUCGACGGCGGUGUUUGGCACCUCGAUGUCGGCUCAUCACAUCCUGGGGCUGAAGUAGGUCCCAAGGGUAUGGCUGUUCGCCAUUUAAAGUGGUACGCGAGCUGGGUUUAGAACGUCGUGAGACAGUUCGGUCCCUAUCUGCCGUGGGCGCUGGAGAACUGAGGGGGGCUGCUCCUAGUACGAGAGGACCGGAGUGGACGCAUCACUGGUGUUCGGGUUGUCAUGCCAAUGGCACUGCCCGGUAGCUAAAUGCGGAAGAGAUAAGUGCUGAAAGCAUCUAAGCACGAAACUUGCCCCGAG
rnacentral:rRNA from 1 species